rnacentral:rRNA from 1 species
UUGGUUAAGUUAGAAAGGGCGCACGGUGGAUGCCUUGGCACUAGGAGCCGAAGAAGGACGGGACUAACACCGAUAUGCUUUGGGGAGCUGUACGUAAGCGUUGAUCCAGAGAUUUCCGAAUGGGGGAACCCACUAUCUUUAGUCGGAUAGUAUCCUUACGUGAAUACAUAGCGUGAGGAAGGCAGACCCAGGGAACUGAAACAUCUAAGUACCUGGAGGAAGAGAAAGAAAAAUCGAUUUCCUGAGUAGCGGCGAGCGAAACGGAAAGAGCCCAAACCAAGAAGCUUGCUUCUUGGGGUUGUAGGACACUCUAUACGGAGUUACAAAAGAAAGUUAUAAAUGAAGCGGUCUGGAAAGGCCCGCCAAAGACGGUAACAGCCCGGUAGUUGAAAUGGCUUUCCCUCCAGAGUGGAUCCUGAGUACGGCGGAACACGUGAAAUUCCGUCGGAAUCCGGGAGGACCAUCUCCCAAGGCUAAAUACUCCCUAGUGACCGAUAGUGAACCAGUACCGUGAGGGAAAGGUGAAAAGCACCCCGGAAGGGGAGUGAAACAGUUCCUGAAACCGUGUGCCUACAAGUAGUUAGAGCCCGUUAAUGGGUGAUAGCGUGCCUUUUGUAGAAUGAACCGGCGAGUUACGAUUUGUUGCAAGGUUAAGCGGAAAAAGCGGAGCCGUAGCGAAAGCGAGUCUGAAUAGGGCGCAUAAGUAACAGGUCGUAGACCCGAAACCAGGUGAUCUACCCAUGUCCAGGAUGAAGGUAAGGUAAUACUUACUGGAGGUCCGAACCCACGCACGUUGAAAAGUGCGGGGAUGAGGUGUGGGUAGCGGAGAAAUUCCAAUCGAACUUGGAGAUAGCUGGUUCUCUCCGAAAUAGCUUUAGGGCUAGCCUCGAGGUAAAGAGUCAUGGAGGUAGAGCACUGUUUGGACUAGGGGCCCUUCUCGGGUUACCGAAUUCAGAUAAACUCCGAAUGCCAUGUA